rnacentral:rRNA from 1 species
AUUGAACGCUGGCGGCAGGCCUAACACAUGCAAGUCGAGCGGAUGAAGGGAGCUUGCUCCUGGAUUCAGCGGCGGACGGGUGAGUAAUGCCUAGGAAUCUGCCUGGUAGUGGGGGAUAACGUCCGGAAACGGGCGCUAAUACCGCAUACGUCCUGAGGGAGAAAGUGGGGGAUCUUCGGACCUCACGCUAUCAGAUGAGCCUAGGUCGGAUUAGCUAGUUGGCGGGGUAAAGGCCUACCAAGGCGACGAUCCGUAACUGGUCUGAGAGGAUGAUCAGUCAGAAGGGAAAGAAGUAGCAGUACGGACGAAGACGGGAGGCAGCAGUGGGGAGUUUGGGAAGAUGGGCUAAGGAUUGAAAAACCCUUGACGGUGGGAGGAAGAAGGUUUUGGGAUGCUAUAGCUUUUUAAGUGGGAAGAAAGGAAAGAACUUCAAAAACUGUCUUUUUGGAGGCCGCGAAAAUAAUAGCAACGCGCAAGUCUGAGC